GUAGGUGGCAAGCGUUGUCCGGAAUUAUUGGGCGUAAAGCGCGCGCAGGCGGUCCUUUAAGUCUGAUGUGAAAGCCCACGGCUCAACCGUGGAGGGUCAUUGGAAACUGGGGACUUGAGUACAGAAGAGGAAAGCGGAAUUCCAAGUGUAGCGGUGAAAUGCGUAGAGAUUUGGAGGAACACCAGUGGCGAAGGCGGCUUUCUGGUCUGUAACUGACGCUGAGGCGCGAAAGCGUGGGGAGCAAACAGGGAUUAGAUACCCUGGUAGUCCACGCCGUAAACGAUGAGUGCUAAGUGUUAGGGGGUUUCCCGCCCCUUAGUGCUGCAGCUAACGCAUUAAGCACUCCGCCUGGGGAUACGGCCGCAAGGCUG
rnacentral:rRNA from 1 species